UGCCUCUUGGUACUUACCACAGGCUGUGUUUUUGUAUUGACUAUAUAGAAAGAGGAGGCAAAGUAAACCUACCCUAUAUACACCUCAGCCUAGGCCCUAUGCCUGGUCUGAAUUGUGAGUGAUGAGACAUGG
rnacentral:snoRNA from 1 species